AUCCGUUUAUGAAUGCAGGCAGAGUGGAGGAAAGCCAGUCCCACUGUGCCGCGUCACGUCGGGUCCCGUACACACUGCCGCCUUGAAAACACCAAGCUUCCUCAAAAGUCCUUGUUUUAGCCAGUGAUGUUGCCUUUUGUUGGGUGAAAACACAGGUCUGAUCCUCAUCGCUGAUAGUAGCAGGGAGCCUGAAAAGGCAGGUCAGGAUGACUCCAGCUCCAACGUCCUUCGCCUCUAUCCAUGCAGCCCAGGUCCUGGGCUAGAUCUGCCCUGCCCUCCUCUAACUGUCCCUCUUCUGUCCUACCACAGCUAUAGGAGUAACUCAC